rnacentral:rRNA from 1 species
AUAGCAUCUAUACUGUGAAACUGCGAAUGGCUCAUUAAAUCAGUUAUCGUUUAUUUGAUAGUACCUUACUACUUGGACAACCGUGGUAAUUCUAGAGCUAAUACAUGCUAAAAACCCCGACUUCGGAAGGGGUGUAUUUAUUAGAUAAAAAACCAAUGCCCUUCGGGGCUCCUUGGUGAAUCAUGAUAACUUAACGAAUCGCAUGGCCUUGCGCCGGCGAUGGUUCAUUCAAAUUUCUGCCCUAUCAACUUUCGAUGGUAGGAUAGUGGCCUACCAUGGUAUCAACGGGUAACGGGGAAUUAGGGUUCUAUUCCGGAGAGGGAGCCUGAGAAACGGCUACCACAUCCAAGGAAGGCAGCAGGCGCGCAAAUUACCCAAUCCCGACGCGGGGAGGUAGUGACAAUAAAUACUGAUACAGGGCUCUUUUGGGUCUUGUAAUUGGAAUGAGUACAAUUUAAAUACCUUAACGAGGAACAAUUGGAGGGCAAGUCUGGUGCCAGCAGCCGCGGUAAUUCCAGCUCCAAUAGCGUAUAUUAAAGUUGUUGCAGUUAAAAAGCUCGUAGUUGAACCUUGGGCCUGGCUGGCCGGUCUGCCUCACCGCAUGUACUGGUUCGGCCGGGCCUUUCCUCCUGGGGAUCCGCAUGCCCUUCACUGGGUGUGUUGGGGAACCAGGACUUUUACUUUGAAAAAAUUAGAGUGUUCAAAGCAGGCCUUUGCUCGAAUACAUUAGCAUGGAAUAAUAGAAUAGGACGUGCGGUCCUAUUUUGUUGGUUUCUAGGACCGCCGUAAUGAUUAAUAGGGAUAGUCGGGGGCAUCAGUAUUCAGUUGUCAGAGGUGAAAUUCUUGGAUUUACUGAAGACUAACUACUGCGAAAGCAUUUGCCAAGGAUGUUUUCAUUAAUCAGUGAACGAAAGUUAGGGGAUCGAAGACGAUCAGAUACCGUCGUAGUCUUAACCGUAAACUAUGCCGACUAGGGAUCGGGCGAUGUUAUUCUUUUGACUCGCUCGGCACCUUACGAGAAAUCAAAGUCUUGGG